UUUUUAUGUACUUUUUCAUUCUUUCUUUUUACUUUUCGGUCAAUAUUUUUUUGUCCAGAUUCUUUCUUCACGAUUUAGGGCACAUAGACGUCUAAAUGUGUGCACAUAGAAAGAACGAAAAAUAAGAACGAAAUUUCCGCCCACAUAGAAGUCUCCGCUCUUCACGAUUUAGGUUCGCUUUCCAGAUUCGUUCCCCUCCUGAAAUGGCAAGUUCUCUUUCUCUCUUAAAUCUCCCAUUUUCUUUCACUCUUCACGACAUCGGGUUCACUCUAAGUUGCGAUUUGAUGUGAUAUCCAAUUGCGAAAAAUUUUGGGUGAAAUAGUUGUGCGAAAUCAGUCUCUGCAUUGCGAAUAUAGUUGAUAUCCGAUUUUAAUUCCUCUAAGUUUGAUAUUUGUGCGAUUUUAAUUGUUCACUUAGACGAACUUCUACAGGUGUAAUCAUGUUGUGGUUGGCAUUUUGUUUCUAUUGUUAGAAUCUAACUUAACCCCUGUCUACAGGUGUAAUCAUGUUGUGGUUUUCUGAUCUCUGUGGUUUCUUCGAGAUUUUGAGCUUACUCCAUCGAAGUUGAAGUUCGUUUGCCGUUUGGAUUCCUAUUCGAAGUUCCUGUUCUUGUUUUGAUUCACUUCAUUUCUUCGUCGCUGGAUUUUCUUGUUCUCGCUUCUGGAAUUAAUUGAAAUUCUAAACAUCCAGGUUCAUUUAUGUGAUGACCCGACCCGUUAUCUCAUGUAAUUCUGUUAUGUUUUCCUAGUUUAAUACUUCUAUAUGGUUCAUUGUAUGUGUUGGUGAAUUUUGAAGCAAUCCGGAUAGAAUUUGGUUGGAAAUGAGACAAUUAGUCUCUUUAAGGAAGGGUUGGUUUGGAGUUAGAUGGCUCGGAAUGGAUUUAUUAUGAUUCAGUUAGUUUCAGGGGAUGAUUUAAGGCUUAGGGGAGCAAUCAAAAGUAAUUUUGGAGGCUCGGUGUAGAAUUAUACUUGAAUUGGCUAAGUUAGCAUUUUGGCGAUAUCCGGUUGAUAGGUGAGAUUUUGAUCCGAGGGUCGGAAUGGAAUUCCGAGAGUUUCAUUAGUUUCUUUAGAUGAUUUUGGAUGUGUGUGCAAAAUUUCAGUUGAUUCGGAGGUGUUUAGGUCGGGUUUUUUAUCAAAUACAUGCUUUGGAAGUUUUAGUUUAACUUAGGUUUGAAUCCGUCGUAAUUUGAUGAUUCUUGUGUUGUUGGAUGUGUUUUUAUGAUUGGAAUAUGUUUGAGUGAUGUUUUACGAUGGGUUGGCACUUUUGGUUGAGGUCCCAGGGGCCUCGGGGGGUUCAAACGGACCAAUCUUGGCCUUUGGGAGUUGCAGAAAAAUAGCUGAAGUGUUGCAGAGAAUUUGCUCUAUGGGAUCGCAUAUGAGGUUUUGGAAGGGGUUCAAAUUUGUUCUAUGCGAUCGCGUGAGAGGCUCUGCGAUCGCAUAUGUUUGGAAUUUAUGUCUAUGCAUUUGCAUCAGGGGUGGUGCGAUCGCGUAGUGUAUUUCUGCCUGGGGUCCCUGGCAGUUAAUUGUUCUAUGCAAUCACAUGGGUGUUAGUGUGAUCGUAUAAGAGGAAACUUGGAGGUUUGGAAAUUUGUACUAUGCAAUCGCAAUAGCAAGCCUGCGAUCGCAUAGGGUAAAAACUGGCCAGACAUAAGGGUUUUAAUAACAUUUCAUCCGCGAACCAAAUCUAUUUCCACCAUUGUUAAGCAAUAUUGGGAGCUUUUGACGAGGAAUUUAGAGGAUUUUGACUGGAAUCGAUUGGAGGUAGGUCCUAUGGCCUAGAAACGUCAUCUAGUUGUGAUUUCAACACCUAAAUUUUGUGGAACUUGAGUAAAAAGGGAAGAACUAGGGCUUGUGUUUUCUUAAUGAGAAAUUGGAUCUUGAGGGAGCAUAUGGACUCCGAUUUUGAUGAUUUUACAUUUAUAGACUCGCACCAAGAUAAGUAAUAUUUUGGUAUAAAAAUUUAUGACUUUCGAGAAGUGGAUCGGGGGCUCGGGUUUUGCAAAUUUUGUAUUUUUCGAUAUUUUUCAAGUCUUUUCGAUUGGGUUAUAUUACCUUAGCGUAUUGUAAUAUUAUUUGUUGUGGUUUUGGCUAUAUUCGACGCGCGAGGAGGUUGAUUCGAGAGACAAGGGCAUUGCUAGCUAGUUCUCGGCCGGCUAGAGGUGAAUAAUAUUGUAACUGCUGCUUUGAGGGUUUAAAACCCCAGUCUUUCACAUCGUAAUACUAUAUUGAGGCGUGACACGCAUUCCAUGAUGAGUGCGGUGUCAUAUAUUGUUGAGGAUUGAGACUUAAUCCAUCCCGAGUGUUAAUUUCUACUAUAUUGGCAAUUUAAACGCAUACUUUAUUAUUGUGAAUUGGGUUUAUUGCCGUGUUUGGGGCCUUGUGCCGAUCUGUAGAAUCCUUAAGGGAUCCUUAUGUGUUUUUCCUCACUUAUGUGCAUAACAUAAAUUCUCAGUCAUGUUUUCAAAUAUUAAAAAUAAUAUAAUAUAUGUGUUUUAUACAUGAACCUUAAAUGAAAAGGAUAUGAGGGUUGAGAUCCCUAUAGUAUGUCACACCCGAUUGGCUGUGCACUUAUUUGACUGAGAUGGGUCGAGGACCCAGUGGUGAGGAUGUUUCCUGGAUAUGGAUCGCGCUACACGCGGUAACGAUUAUAUAUAUUGAUAUUGAGGCCGAGAGCCUGUUUUAUGCCAAUACCUGGCUGAUAUUGUGCUUGGACUGUAGGAGCCCCUCCGGAGUCUGUACACACCCCCAGCGAGUGCCAUCGAUGUUAAUUAAGUGGAGCGAGCUGCACGCCGCAGCAGGUACCGGAAUGUACCAUUAUAUGUGUUACAUUCUUUCAUACAUUAUUCCUUAACUGUACUAUUUGUUGUAUAAUGUUUUCCAAUGUUUGGAUAUGAACUGCUAGAUAUAGUGUACUUUGUGCAUUUCCUGUGUUUUCUUACCUUCAGACUUUAGUCAUGUUUAUUACUCACUGAGUUGGAGUACUACUUUACUCCAUGCACCUUGUGUGCAGAUCCAGGGCAGUCUCAGUCUAAGUAGAUCCAGCUGAUCCAGAGUUCUAUCUUCGAGAGUAUUUGAGGUAGCUGUAGGGCGUUCGCAGCCGAUGAUUCUCCCCCCUCUUUUUCUAUCCUCUAUUUCCACAUUAUCAGUGUUACACAGACUUUAUUGUAGGAUAUUACUCUGUCAUUAGAGGCUCAUGUUCAUGACACCGGGUACUAGUUGGGCUGUAUCGGUAUUUUGUCAAAUUUUCCGCAUUAUUAUAAGUAUUUCAGACUUUGACUUAAAUGGCUUUAUCUUUACUUGUUUAAAUAAUUGGAUUAACUGUCAUAAAUGGUCGAGCUUGCCUAGUAGUGUGCUGGGCGCUAUCACGACCGGGUUGGGGUCGUUACAAUUUCUUUCGCACCUGUCGUGUUUGCUUUUAGUUAGAUUUGAUCUCCCUCUGUUACUUUGUGUGCUGUUUUGAUUUUCGUACUUAAAUGUCUGUGGUUUUAAGUUUGUUCCAUUUGGAAAUAU
rnacentral:lncRNA from 1 species